AAAAUUGGAGAGUUUGAUCCUGGCUCAGAAUCAACGCUGGCGGCGUGCCUAACACAUGCAAGUCGAACGAGAAAGUGGGGGCAACCCUGCGAGUACAGUGGCAGACG
rnacentral:rRNA from 1 species